rnacentral:sRNA from 1 species
UUCAUAUGCUAAAAGAGAUACAUGUGA